rnacentral:rRNA from 1 species
CGGACGGGUGAGUAAUGUCUGGGAAACUGCCCGAUGGAGGGGGAUAACUACUGGAAACGGUAGCUAAUACCGCAUAACGUCGCAAGACCAAAGAGGGGGACCUUAGGGCCUCUUGCCAUCGGAUGUGCCCAGAUGGGAUUAGCUAGUAGGUGGGGUAAUGGCUCACCUAGGCGACGAUCCCUAGCUGGUCUGAGAGGAUGACCAGCCACACUGGACUGAGACACGGCCCAG